rfam:Aeribacillus pallidus strain 8m3 NODE_1, whole genome shotgun sequence.
GGUAUGUAUUUCAAGCCCCACGAUUAGCCCCGGAAAAUAAUCGUGUUUUUGAAAUAGACU